AUCACAGACUAUCUAGUAACAAGCCCCCCCCCCCCGCCUCCUGGACGAGUGGCGCACUGUACUGACGCUAGCACACUCCCUCCGCCGCCCCCUCACCAUGCAGGCGAGGUAGGGGGAACAUGUUUUAUUAAAGAGGACUUUGAAGAGCUCCGCCAGUAACUUCCCACUGCUCGCUUCCCCUUUCCCUGAUUUAAGAUAGCGCCUCUCUAAUUUGAAGCCUGAAGUUUGGGGUUUUGCGGAGGCGCCAUUAACUAUUAACACGUGGGGGCCACUGCAAAGUGUGCGAGGGCUGUUGUUGGACCGGCGAUGACGACACCGCAGCCCUCCUCUAAGGAAUUAUCUUGCAGGGACACAAACAACACGCUUGGUCAACGUCGGAUUUCUUGUUUUAUGCUUCUCCAGGUCAGCGUCUCGCCUGCCGUCUGCCAGUGGAUUUAGAGCUUCCGGACGGGCAGGACACAGCCGGUGAGGCUGGGAGAGACCACCUCAUCCACACGCAGCAGCAGCACUGGGGCGCCCCGAGGUCGCGUCCUCUCUCCGCUGCUCUUCUCUCUCUACACGAACGACUGCACCGCAACGCACCCUGCUGUCAAACUCCUGAAGUUUGCAGAUGACACCACUGUCAUCGGCCUCAUCGAGGACGGUGACGAGUCUGCAUAUCGACAGGAAGCGGCGCUGCGGUGCGGCCGACGCAGCCUGGAGCUGAACACGCUCAAGACUGUAGAGAUGAUCGUGGACUUCAGGAGGCAUCCUUCGCCACAGCUGCCCUUGUGUCAACCGUCGAGACCUUCAAGUUCCUGGGAAUUACAGUCUCUCGGGACAACUCUGUCCUCAAAAAGGCUCAGCAGAGGAUGAACUUCCUGCGGCCUCUUGCAAUCAACUUCUUAAACAGUAAACUUACAAUUCCAUUGCAACAUGCUGCCAAUUUCUUUUGUCUGAGUUUGUUGUCACAUUUCUGUCGGGCCAAUUAUAUACUACUGGAGCACUCACUGUAGUAGUCUCGCCAGGCUGCACUAUUUGCAACAACUAUCUGUUGUUGACCAAUGCUGGACACUCAUGUCAGAGUAGCCCAGAUGAUCGCACUACUCGUCACUUUCAACCGCAUCCACUCCUUGAACUCUCGGCGCCCUUUGCACAAUGCUCAUUGCGCCGGACUAUUGCGAGAUGAGUCAUUUGAACUGCUCUAAGUGCUAGAAGACU